UCGCACCUACCGAUUGAAUGAUUCGGUAAAAAUCUCGACUGUAAUCAGUGCACUCGUGCGCUGAUUGUGGGAAGUUAUUUAAACCUCAUCAUUUAGAGGAAGGUGAAGUCGUAACAAGGUUUCCGUAGGUGAACCUGCAGAAGGAUCA
rnacentral:rRNA from 1 species